rnacentral:rRNA from 1 species
CAGCAGUGGGGAAUAUUGCACAAUGGGGGAAACCCUGAUGCAGCGACGCCGCGUGGAGGAAGAAGGUCUUCGGAUUGUAAACUCCUGUUGUUGAGGAAGAUAAUGACGGUACUCAACAAGGAAGUGACGGCUAACUACGUGCCAGCAGCCGCGGUAAAACGUAGGUCACAAGCGUUGUCCGGAAUUACUGGGUGUAAAGGGAGCGCAGGCGGGAGAACAAGUUGGAAGUGAAAUCCAUGGGCUCAACCCAUGAACUGCUUUCAAAACUGUUUUUCUUGAGUAGUGCAGAGGUAGGCGGAAUUCCCGGUGUAGCGGUGGAAUGCGUAGAUAUCGGGAGGAACACCAGUGGCGAAGGCGGCCUACUGGGCACCAACUGACGCUGAGGCUCGAAAGUGUGGGUAGCAAACAGGAUUAGAUACCCUGGUAGUCCACACUGUAAACGAUGAUUACUAGGUGUUGGAGGAUUGACCCCUUCAGUGCCGCAGUUAACACAAUAAGUAAUCCACCUGGGGAGUACGACCGCAAGGUUGAAACUCAAAGGAAUUGACGGGGGCCCGCACAAGCAGUGGAGUAUGUGGUUUAAUUCGACGCAACGCGAAGAACCUUACCAAGUCUUGACAUCCCUUGACAGACAUAGAAAUAUGUAAUCUCUUCGGAGCAAGGAGACAGGUGGUGCAUGGUUGUCGUCAGCUCGUGUCGUGAGAUGUUGGGUUAAGUCCCGCAACGAGCGCAACCCUUAUGGUCAGUUACUACGCAAGAGGACUCUGGCCAGACUGCCGUUGACAAAACGGAGGAAGGUGGGGAUGACGUCAAAUCAUCAUGCCCUUUAUGACUUGGGCUACACACGUACUACAAUGGCGUUAAACAAAGAGAAGCAAGACCGCGAGGUGGAGCAAAACUCAGAAACAACGUCCCAGUUCGGACUGCAGGCUGCAACUCGCCUGCACGAAGUCGGAAUUGCUAGUAAUCGUGGAUCAGCAUGCCACGGUGAAUACGUUCCCGGGCCUUGUACACACCGCCCGUCACACCAUGAGAGCCGGGGGGACCCGAAGUCGGUAGUCUAACCGCAAGGAGGACGCCGCCGAAGGUAAAACUGGUGAUUGGGGUGAAGUCGUAACAAGGUAGCCGUAGGAGAACCUGCGGCUG